AAGAGAAAAUAACCUAGUAAAAACUGCUAACUUUGCCUACUGAAGCUAAAUUCUUCAACUCUCUUU
rnacentral:tRNA from 1 species